AGUCAGGCGAUAUUUCUGUCUUCAAGGAGAUUACAGUCUAGAAACCAAGCAAAAAACAUGAGCAUAAAAACAUCAAGCAAGAUGAGAGGUGAGAAGAGAUCAAGGAGAGAUACAUAAAGAGACCCCUUUAAAGAUGAGGCCAUGAAUGGGCCACUCCUUUCAGGCUGAAUGGAAUGAAAUCAACCUGAAAAGCCAUGUGAUAAAAAUGAGAACGCUCUCUCAGUUCGAGUGUCUGAAUGACUGCAUGGGGGAGAGCAGACCUGCCAAUCUACUCACCUGCCUAGUAUUGUUAAGUGGGAUAUUUCUAGAACGUGCUCCUUCAAAACACAGCUAUAAACCAAGAAGGUCUUACUUGAACCAAGGAAGUAGGGAACCCAGCACUGAAAGCAACAUAAAAGGCAAUUCCAUAAUGAUGGGGAUGGAAGUCCCAAGGCUUAGUUGUGCUACAAGACAACGAGCAACCAGUCCUGAUGGAAGCAGGAGAAAAAGGCCUGAGGAAGAUGUGUCCAGAAAACCAAGGAGCCAACAGAUUACUUGAUAUGUUUAACUGUACAGAAAAGAGUUUUAUAGUUCUAGCGAAGACUUUGUGGAUGAAUUGAUAAGUAUAUAUAAAACUAAUUUAAAAAAACCCACAAAAAAUAGACAAGUAUUAAAGCUGAGGAGGCAAGAGGAGAGUUGUAAAAGAGAAGAAAUGUAAGUCAAUAUACUACAUAUGGGUUAACUGUAAGAAAUAGUUACACAGUCAUAAAGCAAACACUGAAAACUGAUUCAACAAUUUUACAUAUGUAUAAAUAAACUAUUGGGAGCGUAUGAGGAAGCAAAAAAAAAUGUGUAAAUGUAAAAGAUGGGGUAAGUAAAAGAGCCAAAUAGUCACUAUUCAGAGUUAGAAGUCUACAGAUUGUGCCUAAAAUAGAAAAAGCAGAAAUUAUAGUAUAAACAUAUUAUUUAGAUAUGUACAUGUAAAGAACAGUUAAAGGAUUGAAAGUAGUUGGCUCUAAGAAGUGUAAACCGAAACGGAGAAGCGUAGAGGAGGGACCACCACCAUUUUUCUUUGUGAAACUUACAGU